GCGGGGCAUGGUGGCGCUUGCCUGUAGUCCCAGCUACUCGGGAGGCUGAGGCUGGAGGAUUGCGUGAGCCCAGGAGUUCUGGGCUGUAGUGCGCUAUGCCGAUCGGGUGUCCGCACUAAGUUCGGCAUCAAUAUGGUGACUUCCUGGGAGUGAGGGACCACCAGGUUGCCUAAGGAAGGGUUAGCCAGCCCAGGUCAGAAACAGCAGGUGAAAACUCCCAUGCUUAUCAGUAGUGGGAUCACACCUGUGAAUGGCCACUGCACUCCACUCCAGCAUGGGCAACAUAGGGAGACACCAUUUCU
rnacentral:SRP_RNA from 1 species